CGGCGAACGGGUGAGUAACACGUAGGUAACGUACCUUCUGGUGGGGAAUAACUGGCCGAAAGGCCUGCUAAUACCGCAUAUGUCCUUCGGGAUAAAAGCCUUCGGGCGCCAGUAGAUCGGCCUGCGGCCCAUUAUUUAGUCCUAGUUGGUAGGGUAACGGCCUACCAAGGGUACGAUGGGUAGCUGGUCUGAGAGGAUGAUCAGCCACACUGGAACUGAGACACGGUCCAGACUCCUACGGGAGGCAGCAGUGGGGAAUAUUGGACAAUGGGCGAAAGCCUGAUCCAGCCAUGCCGCGUGGGUGAUUGAAGGCCUUCGGGUUGUAAAGCCCUGUCGGAGGGGACGAAAGCCGCAAGGUUUGACGGUACCUUCCAAGAAAGCACCGGCUAACUCCGUGCCAGCAGCCGCGGUAAUACGGAGGGUGCAAGCGUUGCUCGGAAUUACUGGGCGUAAAGCGUACGCAGGCGGCUUUGUAAGUCGGGUGUGAAAAGCCCCAGGCUCAACCUGGGAACUGCAUCCGAUACUGCAAGGCUUGAGUUCGGGAGAGGGG
rnacentral:rRNA from 1 species